GGGGAUAUAGCUCAGUUGGGAGAGCGCUUGCAUGGCAUGCAAGAGGUCAUCGGUUCGAUCCCGUUUAUCUCCACCA
rnacentral:tRNA from 3 species